UUGCAGUUAAAAAGCUCGUAGUCGGAUGUCGGGCUCGGGCAGGCUGUCGGCUUCGGUCGGACGGCAGGCUCGGGUCUUUCUGCCUGAGGAUCCUGUUGCACUUUAUUGUGGGGCUGGGGACGCAGGCCGUUUACUUUGAAAAAAUUAGAGUGUUCAAAGCAGGCCUACGCUUGAAUACAUUAGCAUGGAAUAAUGGAAUAGGACUUUGGUGCUAUUUUGUUGGUUUAUGGGACCGAAGUAAUGAUUAACAGGGACAGUUGGGGCCGUUUAUAUUUCGUUGUCAGAGGUGAAAUUCUUG
rnacentral:rRNA from 1 species